rnacentral:lncRNA from 1 species
AUGCCAUUAAGAUGAAACUAUUUUCUACUUAUGCUAUCGUUAAAAAUGCCUUUGUUUUUCAAGCUGGCAUUGGAUUCUCAGCCAACACCUUUCUCCUUUUCUUCCACAUCUUUACGCUUCUUCUGAAUCGCAGGCCUAAACCCCGUGACUUACUCACCUGUCACCUGGCCCUCAUUCACAUUCAGAUGCUCCUCACUGCAGUGGAUUUUUUGCCUCUAGACAUAUUUGAAUCACUGCAUUUUGGGAAUGACUUUAAGUGUAAGGCACUUUUUUACACAAACAGGGCAAUGAAGGGCCUCUCCAUCUGCACCACCUGCCUUCUGAACAUGCUCCAGGCCAUCAGCAUCAGCCCCAGCACCUCCUGGUUGGCAAGGUUUAAACAUAAAUCCACAAAUUACAUUUUGCAUGUUUUCUUCUUUUGGGUGUGCUUCAAUUUGUCCUUCAGUAGUUGGCCAAUCUUUUUCUCUGUGCAUUCUUCCAACACGACCCAUAUCAAGCUACAGAAUGUCAGUAAAUACUGCCACUUUCCCCCAUGAACUCCACAAUCAGGGGAGUGUUUUUCACUGUGACAUUAUCCAAGUAUGUCUCCUGUGUAGUACUUAUGCUGCUCUCAAGGGCAUACAUGGUGAUUCUCCUGCCCAGGCAUUGGAGGCAAUCCCAGCACCUCCAUAGCACCCACCUCUCCCCAAGACCCUCCCCAGAGAAAAGGGCCACCCAGACCAUCCUGCUGCUGGUGAGUUUCUUUGUGGUCAUGUACUGGGUGGACUUUAUCUUCUCAACCUCUUUAACCCUGCUAUGGCCGUAUGACCCACACGUUGUCCUGAGUGUGCAGAGAGCUGUGCUCAAUGCCUAUGCCACUGUUAGUCCUUUGGUGCAAAUCAGUUCUGAUAAAACAAUAAUCAGUAUUAUGCAAAAU